GCCAUGCUAGUUGUACGAGUUCAGACUCGUAGCAGAUAGCUCAGUAACACGUGGCCAAACUACCCUAUGGAUCCGGAUAACCUCGGGAAACUGAGGCUAAUCCGGAAUACGACUCUCAGCCUGGAAGUGGCGAGAGUCAGAAACGCUCCGGCGCCAUAGGAUGUGGCUGCGGCCGAUUAGGUAGACGGUGGGGUAACGGCCCACCGUGCCCAUAAUCGGUACGGGUUGUGAGAGCAAGAGCCCGGAGACGGUAUCUGAGACAAGAUACCGGGCCCUACGGGGCGCAGCAGGCGCGAAACCUUUACACUGCACGAAAGUGCGAUAAGGGGACUCCAAGUGCGAGGGCAUAUAGUCCUCGCUUUUCACCACCGUAAGGAGGUGGUAGAAUAAGUGCUGGGCAAGACCGGUGCCAGCCGCCGCGGUAAUACCGGCAGCACGAGUGAUGACCGCUCUUAUUGGGCCUAAAGCGUCCGUAGCUGGCCACGCAAGUCUAUCGGGAAAUCCGCGCGCUCAACGCGCGGGCGUCCGGUGGAAACUGCGUGGCUUGGGACCGGAAGAUCCAGAGGGUACGUCUGGGGUAGGAGUGAAAUCCCGUAAUCCUGGACGGACCACCGGUGGCGAAAGCGCUCUGGAAAGACGGAUCCGACGGUGAGGGACGAAAGCUCGGGUCACGAACCGGAUUAGAUACCCGGGUAGUCCGAGCUGUAAACGAUGUCUGCUAGGUGUGCCACAGGCUACGAGCCUGUGGUGUGCCGUAGGGAAGCCGUGAAGCAGACCGCCUGGGAAGUACGUCCGCAAGGAUGAAACUUAA
rnacentral:rRNA from 1 species